GACGAACGCUGGCGGCGUGCUUAACACAUGCGAGUCGAACGGAAAGGCCCUGCUUGCAGGGUACUCGAGUGGCGAACGGGUGAGUAACACGUGGGUGAUCUGCCCUGCACUUCGGGAUAAGCCUGGGAAACUGGGUCUAAUACCGGAUAGGAGCCAUUUUUAGUGUGAUGGUUGGAAAGUUUUUUCGGUGUAGGAUGAGCUCGCGGCCUAUCAGCUUGUUGGUGGGGUAAUGGCCUACCAAGGCGGCGACGGGUAGCCGGCCUGAGAGGGUGGACGGCCACAUUGGGACUGAGAUACGGCCCAGACUCCUACGGGAGGCAGCAGUGGGGAAUAUUGCACAAUGGGCGCAAGCCUGAUGCAGCGACGCCGCGGGGGGGAUGACGGCCUUCGGGUUGUAAACUCCUUUCGCUAGGGACGAAGCUUUUUGUGACGGUACCUAGAUAAGAAGCACCGGCUAACUACGUG
rnacentral:rRNA from 1 species